rnacentral:misc_RNA from 1 species
UUGCUGCUAAGGAUUUUUUGCUGGAUUUGCAGAGCGGAACACUAGACCUUGGUCCAGGCCUGACAGCUCAGAGCUCAAACAAAUCUGGACAUGGUAGUGAUCCAAAUUCUGACGAUGAGCUUGAUGCCGGUGGCAAGAGAAGGAGACAUGGCAGGGGCCCAGUAAGAGAAAACGAUAUGCUUUCUGCUGCACCCAAAGCCCACCCAGUUAGUGCCGAUCCUCGAAGAAUUCAAGCAGAUAUUGAACAAGCACAAGCAGUGGUUCGUAAGCUUGACG